rnacentral:tmRNA from 1 species
GGGGGCGACCUGGUUUCGACGCCGGUCACAAAACCUAAGGGGCAUGCCGAGGCGCAGCACACCUCGUAAAUCCAACUGCAAACCAAGUUAGUUGCGAACGACGACAACUACGCCCUAGCGGCUUAAUCCCCGCUAGCCUCUGACUCGGGCCGUGCUUGUGCGCUGAGCCUCAGGGGUCGAUCCUCGCAAGCUCGCGAUGAGGCCCGCCCGGGGCCAACUCGCUAAAUCCUCACCGGGCUCGCCGUGUGCCGUCCUGCCGCUCGGACGACCCGCGGUCAAAACGAAGAGACGGCUACGCAUGUAGAACCGAGGGCGGAGGACUGACGGACGCGGGUUCGAUUCCCGCCGCCUCCACCA